GGAUGAACACUAGCGGGAGGCGUAACACAUGCAAGCCGAGCGGUAUUUGUUAUUCGGAACAGAGAGAGCGGCGUACGGGUGCGUAACACGUGUGCAACCUACCUUUAUCAGGGGAAUAGCCUUUGAAAAGGAAGAUUAAUACUCCAUAAUAUAUUGAGUGGCAUCAUUCGAUAUUGAAAACUCCGGUGGAUAAAGAUGGGCACGCGCAAGACAAGAUAGUUGGUGAGGUAACGGCUCACCAAGUCAAUGAUCUUUAGGGGUCUCGAGAGGGAGAUUCCCCACACUGGUAUUGAGACACGGACCAGAGUCUUACGGGAGGCAGCAGUGAGGAAUAUUGGACAAUGGGUGAAAGCGCGAUCCAGCCAUCCCGCGUGAAGGAGGACGGUCCUAUGGAUUGUAAAAUUUUUUUGUAUAGGGAUAAACACAGAUACGUGUAUAUAGAUGAAGGUAUUAUAUGAAUAAGCACCGGCUAAAUCCGUGCCAGCAGCCGCGGUAAUACGGAGGGUGCAAGCGUUAUCCGGAUUUACAGGGUUUAAAGGGUCUCUGGGCGGGCCGAUAAGUCAGUGGUGAAAUAUCAUAGCUUAAAUAGGAAAAAGCCACUGAUAUAGUCGGUGAUGAGUAAUUUAGAGGUAGAAGGAAUAAGUAGUGUAGCGGUGAAAAGCAUAGAUAUUAUUCAGAACACCACAUGUGAGGGCAGGUUACCAUGAUUUAAUAGACGCGGAGGGAGGAAAGAGCGGGGAGAGAACAGGAUAUGAUAUCCCGGUAGUGCACGCCGUAAAAGAUGCUAAUUCGUUUUUGGGGGGCCAGUUUCAGAGACCAAGCGAAAGUGAUAUAUUAGCCACCUGGGGAAUAAGUUCGCAUUAAUGAAACUCAGGAGAAGUGAGGGGGGCCCGCACAAGCGGUGGAUUAUGUGGUUUAAUUCUAUGAUACGCGAGGAACCUUACCAGGGCUUAUGUGGAAAAUGACAGAUUUAGAAAUACAUUUCUCUUCAGACAUUUUUCAGGGUGCUGCGGGGUUGUCCUCCUCUCGUGCCGUGAUGUGUUGUGUUAACUCCUGCAACGAGCGCACCCCCUGUCACUAUUUGCUAACAUUAAGUUGAGGACUCUAGUGAGACUGCCUACGCAAGUAGAGAGGAAGGUGGGGAUGACGUCAAAUCAUCACGGCCCUUACGCCUUGGGCCACACACGUAAUACAAUGGCCGGUACAGAGGGCAGCUACUGGGCGAUGUGAAGCGAAUCUCGAAAGCCGGUCUCAGUUCGGAUUGGAGUCUGCAACUCGACUCUAUGAAGCUGGAAUCGCUAGUAAUCGCACAUCAGCCAUGACGCGGUGAAUACGUUCCCGGGCCUUGUACACACCGCCCGUCAAGCCAUGGAAGUCUGGGGUACCUGAAGUCGGUGACCGUAAAAAGAUCUGCCUAGGGUAAAAGAGGUAUCUAGGGCUAA
rnacentral:rRNA from 1 species